rnacentral:tRNA from 1 species
GGUCCAUUCAUCUAUCGGUUAGGAUGCCAGGUUUUCAUCCUGGAAAGAGGAGUUCGACUCUCCUAUGGACUA